UACAGAGGGGGCAAGCGUUGUUCGGAAUUACUGGGCGUAAAGGGCGCGUAGGCGGCCUGUUAAGUCGAACGUGAAAUCCCCGGGCUCAACCCGGGAACUGCGUCCGAUACUGGCAGGCUUGAAUUCGGGAGAGGGAUGCGGAAUUCCAGGUGUAGCGGUGAAAUGCGUAGAGAUGCGGAGGAACACCGAUGGCGAAGGCAGCCCCCUGGGCUGACACUGACGCUCAGGCACGAAAGCGUGGGGAGCAAACAGG
rnacentral:rRNA from 1 species